AGUGAACGCUGGCGGCGUGCUUAACACAUGCAAGUCGAACGAGAACGGGUUAUAGCUUGCUAUAAUUGUCAGCUAAGUGGCGCACGGGUGAGUAAUGUAUAGGUAAUAUGCCUCUUACUAAGGGAUAACAAAUGGAAACGUUUGCUAAUACCUUAUACUCCUUAUUAACAGAAGUUAAUAAGGGAAAGAUUUAUUGGUAAGAGAUUAGCCUGUAUUGUAUCAGUUAGUUGGUGGGGUAAUGGCUUACCAAGACUAUGACUCAUAACUGGUUUGAGAGGAUGAUCAGUCACACUGGAACUGAGACACGGUCCAGACUCCUACGGGAGGCAGCAGUGGGGAAUAUUGCACAAUGGACGAAAGUCUGAUGCAGCAACGCCGCGUGGAGGAUGACACAUUUCGGUGCGUAAACUCCUUUUAUAUGAGAAGAUAAUGACGGUAUUAUAUGAGCAAGUCCCGGCUAACUACGUGCCAGCCGCCGCCGUAA
rnacentral:rRNA from 1 species